rnacentral:rRNA from 1 species
GACGCACGCUGGCGGCGUGCCUAAUACAUGCAAGUAGGACGCAGUUGCGAACGGGUGAGUACCGCGUAGGUAACUGCCUAUUAGAGGGGGAUAACUAUUGGUAACGAUAGCUAAUACCGCAUACUAGUAGAUGGACCUGCGGUGUAUUAGCUAGGAGGUAGGGUACUGGCCUACCUAGGGGACGAUACAUAGCCGACAUGAGAGGGUGAGCGGCUACACUGGGAACUAGACACGGCCCAGAAGCCCUCGGGAGGCAGCAGUAGGGAAGCUGUGGGAAUGGGGGGAACCCUGACCCAGCAACGGCGCGUUAGUGAAGAAUGUUUUCGGAUCGUAAAGCUCUGUUGUUAAGGAAGCGGUACUUACCGAGAAAGGGACGGCUAACUACGUGCCAGCAGCCGCGGUAAUAC